AAUAUGCUGAAGUUCGCAAUACAGAAAUAAUUAUUAAUAAGAUAGCUUUAAAGCCCUGCUCAGCUUUUGAAUGUUGGGAAUUGACCCAGAGGUGGCUGUAACCUAAGAUGGUUCCUUCAGUAAUGACCAUUUUUUCUUUUUCAAGAUGAUGAUUAUUCCCCACCUUCUAAGAGACAAAGACCAACGAGCCACCACAGCCACCAGUCCCAGAACCCGCCAAUGCUGGGGAACGGAAAAUGAGGGAGUUCAACUCUGGCCCUCACAAUCCAGUGGAGGAGACGAAACUCAUCUGCCUCUGUCCCUCUGGGCACGCCUCAUGCCAGGUGCAUCUGUGGACAGGGGCCAUGCUCCUGGGCUUCCAAAGUUGGAGAAAGCUGCCAGGCUCAGGUCUGAAGGCCAGAAUUCUACAGUAAGUCCUACUGAGUCAAGGUGGGAGCAGGGUCGGUAGCUUCCGAGGCUCUGCGGGAGAAUCCGUUUCCUGGCCGUAGAGGUGGCCUGCACUCUGCAGCUUGUGCUGCCCGUCUCGAAUGACUGGAGUUUCCUGCUUCUGUCACUACACCUCCCACCCUCUCCAUCACCUGCUCUGCUCUUACAAGGAUCCGAAGAAAUGGAAUCAUCGUAUCGCUGAUCUACGUAAACAAACUGAAGAAUUGUCUGAAAGAAAAUAUGACAUGAACUUAUGAAUUCAACAGGUGAAGAUUUACAACUUGAUAAAUCAACUUUGUCAGCUCGAGCUGUAAAAGCCAAAGGUCCGGUGAUGAUCCCAUACCCUUUUUUCCAGUCUCAUGUUGAAGAUUUUUAUGUAGAAGGCCUUC
rnacentral:lncRNA from 1 species